UGACUGCGUACCUUUUGUAUAAUGGGUCAGCGACUUACAUUUAGUAGCGAGGUUAAGCGAAUAGCGGAGCCGUAGGGAAACCGAGUGUUAACUGCGCGUUAGUUGCUAGGUGUAGACCCGAAACCCGGUGAUCUAGCCAUGGGCAGGUUGAAGGUUGAGUAACAUCAACUGGAGGACCGAACCGACUAAUGUUGAAAAAUUAGCGGAUGACUUGUGGCUGGGGGUGAAAGGCCAAUCAAACCGGGAGAUAUCUGGUUCUCCUCGAAAGCUAUUUAGGUAGCGCCUCGGACGAACACCUUUGGGGGUAGAGCACUGUUAAGGCUAGGGGGUCAUCCCGACUUACCAACCCUUUGCAAACUCCGAAUACCAAAGAGUGCUAUCCGGGAGACAGACGGCGGGUGCUAACGUCCGUCGUCAAAAGGGAAACAACCCAGACCGUCAGCUAAGGUCCCAAAGUAAUUGCUAAGUGGGAAACGAUGUGGGAAGGCUUAGACAGCUAGGAUGUUGGCUUAGAAGCAGCCAUCAUUUAAAGAAAGCGUAAUAGCUCACUAGUCGAGUCGGCCUGCGCGGAAGAUGUAACGGGGCUAAGCAAUUCACCGAAGCUACGGGUACUGAUGCUUGCAUCAGUGCGGUAGAGGAGCGUUCUGUAAGCCGUUGAAGGCGAAGGGGUAACCCACGCUGGAGGUAUCAGAAGUGCGAAUGCUGACAUGAGUAACGAUAAAGGGGGUGAAAAACCCCCUCGCCGAAAGACCAAGGGUUCCUGUCCAACGUUAAUCGGGGCAGGGUGAGUCGACCCCUAAGGCGAGGCUGAAAGGCGUAGUCGAUGGGAAACGGGUUAAUAUUCCCGUACUUCUGCUAACUGCGAUGGAGAGACGGAGAAGGCUAGGCCGGCGCGGCGUUGGUAGUCCGCGUUUAAGGUAGUAGGUGGUGUGCUUAGGCAAAUCCGGGCACACAUACACUGAGAGCUGACGACGAGUCCCUAAGGGGAUGAAGUGGUUGAUGCCAUGCUUCCAGGAAAAUCUUCUAAGCUUCAGGUUAGCAGGAAUCGUACCCCAAACCGACACAGGUGGUCGGGUAGAGAAUACCAAGGCGCUUGAGAGAACUCGGCUGAAGGAACUAGGCAAAAUGGUACCGUAACUUCGGGAGAAGGUACGCUCCUGUUGGUGAUGAGACUUGCUCUCUGAGCUGACGGGAGUCGCAGAUACCAGGUGGCUGCAACUGUUUAUCAAAAACACAGCACUGUGCAAAAUCGCAAGAUGACGUAUACGGUGUGACGCCUGCCCGGUGCCGGAAGGUUAAUUGAUUGGGUUAUCUUCGGAGAAGCUCAUGAUCGAAGCCCCGGUAAACGGCGGCCGUAACUAUAACGGUCCUAAGGUAGCGAAAUUCCUUGUCGGGUAAGUUCCGACCUGCACGAAUGGCGUAAUGAUGGCCACGCUGUCUCCAGCCGAGACUCAGUGAAGUUGAAAUUGCGGUGAAGAUGCCGUAUACCCGCGGCUAGACGGAAAGACCCCGUGAACCUUUACUAUAGCUUGGCACUGAACAUUGACCCUACAUGUGUAGGAUAGGUGGGAGACUAUGAAGAUGAGACGCCAGUCUUGUUGGAGUCAACCUUGAAAUACCACCCUUGUAGUGUUGAUGUUCUAACCUGGGCCCCUAAUCGGGGUUAGGGACAGUGCCUGGUGGGUAGUUUGACUGGGGCGGUCUCCUCCCAAAGAGUAACGGAGGAGCACGAAGGUUGGCUAAGUACGGUCGGACAUCGUACGGUUAGUGUAAUGGCAUAAGCCAGCUUAACUGCGAGACAGACACGUCGAGCAGGUGCGAAAGCAGGUCAUAGUGAUCCGGUGGUUCUGAAUGGAAGGGCCAUCGCUCAACGGAUAAAAGGUACUCCGGGGAUAACAGGCUGAUACCGCCCAAGAGUUCAUAUCGACGGCGGUGUUUGGCACCUCGAUGUCGGCUCAUCACAUCCUGGGGCUGAAGUCGGUCCCAAGGGUAUGGCUGUUCGCCAUUUAAAGUGGUACGCGAGCUGGGUUCAGAACGUCGUGAGACAGUUCGGUCCCUAUCUGCCGUGGGCGUUGGAUGAUUGAGGGGAGCUGCUCCUAGUACGAGAGGACCGGAGUGGACGAACCGCUGGUGUUCGGGUUGUCAUGCCAAUGGCAUUGCCCGGUAGCUACGUUCGGAAUCGAUAACCGCUGAAAGCAUCUAAGCGGGAAGCGAGCCCCAAGAUGAGUCAUCCCUAGGGCCUAGAGCCCUCUGAAGAGCCGUUCGAGACCAGGACGUUGA
rnacentral:rRNA from 1 species